UAAGUACCGAUAUUUUAGUUUAUGUAAGCAGUUUGUAGAGAAGUUAUAUUAUUAGUUUCGCUACGACGUGUCUUCUGGAAUUGUUUUGUACGGGAGUUAUUCUGCAGUCUUGGCAAAUACUUUCGGGGCAAUAAACGUGCUCGCAACAAGUUCAACGCAACAACUUUGUAGGUGGAUGGGUACGCGCGUCUAAGGUAAUUGAACACCGGAGGUAAUUGUAGAAACGUUAUUUCCCGAGUCUCU